CCUACGGGAGGCUGCAGUAGGGAAUAUUGCUCAAUGGGGGAAACCCUGAAGCAGCAACGCCGCGUGGAGGAUGAAGGUUUUCGGAUUGUAAACUCCUUUUGUUAGAGAAGAUAAUGACGGUAUCUAACGAAUAAGCACCGGCCAACUCCGUGCCAGCAGCCGCGGUAAUACGGAGGGUGCAAGCGUUACUCGGAAUCACUGGGCGUAAAGAGCGCGGAGGCGGGAUAGCAAGUCAGAUGUGAAAUCCUAUGGCUUAACCAGAGAACUGCAUUUGAAACUGGUAUUCUAGAGUAUGGGAGAGGUAGGUAGAAUUCUUGGUGUAGGGGUAAAAUCCGUAGAGAUCAAGAGGAAUACUCAUUGCGAAGGCGACCUGCUGGAACAUAACUGACGCUGAUGCGCGAAAGCGUGGGGAGCAAACAGGAUUAGAUACCCGGGUAGUC
rnacentral:rRNA from 1 species